rnacentral:lncRNA from 12 species
ACCGCAAAGAGUACCGUAGAAAUCCUGAGGGCUCGCCGUGUGUUUGACACUCUACAUACACCAUCGAGUUAAUCUGCCAACAGUCCUGUGAAGGAGGGAUCAUAAGCAGUGACGAAAGCUCAACAAGGAUUUAUUUAUUUAUUACAUUAACUCAUGCUCCCUGUUCUGUGAAGUGAACAUUGUCACUUGGGUAAAUUUGGAGCUUGUCACUGCCACAAUCUAAACAGCUCUUGUGAAUCAAAGGAAAGCACCACAGCCACCCCCGCCCUGCUCUUCUCUGAAGCUGCCUGAAGCUUAAGACACCACCUCUCUUUUCUGCCACUCCGUUUUUAAUCUGUCUUCAAAGGGAAAGCCAACUGUCUUGAAUUAAACACAAGGCGGUUCUUGAAGUCAUGUGUGAUGAAAGUGAUUAAAUAAUUAAUUCAAACAAAGGUGACUCUGAGGCAGGUUGGAGGUCAGGAAAGAAAGUCUUGAUUUAAAGCAGCAUUUUCUCGGCAUGCUAAGGAAAAAAAAAUUAAUGUGAUAUGAAAUGACCAUGCUGGAGAGUAUUAACCUCUCUCCCUUGCUUUCUUAGCACCAGACACACGGGGCUCUUGCUUCCCCUGAACAGAUGAAGGCUAUUUUUCUCUGCCUCAAGGCCU